rnacentral:rRNA from 1 species
AUACGUAGGUGACAAGCGUUAUCCGGAUUUACUGGGCGUAAAGGGCGUGUAGGCGGUCUUGCAAGUCAGAAGUGAAAUUCCUGAGCUCAACUCGGGCGCUGCUUCUGAAACUGCAGGACUUGAGUGCUGGAGGGGAUAGCGGAAUUCCUAGUGGAGCGGUAAAAUGCGCAGAUAUUAGGAAGAACACCGGUGGCGAAGGCGGCUAUCUGGACAGUAACUGACGCUGAGGCGCGAAAGCGUGGGGAGCAAACAGGAUUAGAUACCCUGGUAGUCCAUGCCGUAAACGAUGAAUACUAGGUGUAGGGGGUAUCGACUCCCUCUGUGCCGCAGUUAACACAAUAAGUAUUCCGCCUGGGGAGUACGGCCGCAAGGUUGAAACUAAAAUGAAUUGACGGGG